rnacentral:rRNA from 1 species
AAUAGAUACCCUGGUAGUCCACGCCGUAAACGAUGAGUGCUAAGUGUUAGGGGGUUUCCGGCCCCUUAGUGCUGCAGCUAACGCAUUAAGCACUCCGCCUGGGGAGUACGGUCGCAAGACUGAAACUCAAAGGAAUUGACGGGGGCCCGCACAAGCGGUGGAGCAUGUGGUUUAAUUCGAAGCAACGCGAAGAACCUUACCAGGUCUUGACAUCCCAUUGACCGCUAUGGAGACAUAGCUUUCCCUUCGGGGACAGUGGUGACAGGUGGUGCAUGGUUGUCGUCAGCUCGUGUCGUGAGAUGUUGGGUUAAGUCCCGCAACGAGCGCAACCCUUGUUCUUAGUUGCCAUCAUUUAGUUGGGCACUCUAAGGAGACUGGCCGGUGACAAACCGGAGGAAGGUGGGGAUGACGUCAAAUCAUCAUGCCCCUUAUGACCUGGGCUACACACGUGCUACAAUGGACGGUACAAACGGUUGCCAACCCGCGAGGGGGGAGCUAAUCCGAUAAAACCGUUCUCAGUUCGGAUUGUAGGCUGCAACUCGCCUAC